UAACACGUGAGCAACCUGCCUUUCAGAGGGGGAUAACAGUUGGAAACGACUGCUAAUACCGCAUAACGCUGCGAUGGGGCAUCCCGAUGCAGCCAAAGGAGCAAUCCGCUGAAAGAUGGGCUCGCGGCCGAUUAGCUAGUUGGUGGGGCAACGGCCCACCAAGGCGACGAUCGGUAGCCGGACUGAGAGGUUGAUCGGCCACAUUGGGACUGAGACACGGCCCGGACUCCUACGGGAGGCAGCAGUGGGGGAUAUUGCACAAUGGAGGAAACUCUGAUGCAGCGACGCCGCGUGAGGGAAGACGGUCUUCGGAUUGUAAACCUCUGUCUUUGGGGAAGAAAAUGACGGUACCCAAAGAGGAAGCUCCGGCUAACUACGUGCCAGCAGCCGCGGUAAUACGUAGGGAGCGAGCGUUGUCCGGAAUUACUGGGUGUAAAGGGAGCGUAGGCGGGCGAGAAAGUUGAAUGUUAAAUCUACCGGCUUAACUGGUAGCUGCGUUCAAAACUUCUUGUCUUGAGUGAAGUAGAGGCAGGCGGAAUUCCUAGUGUAGCGGUGAAAUGCGUAGAUAUUAGGAGGAACACCAGUGGCGAAGGCGGCCUGCUGGGCUUUAACUGACGCUGAGGCUCGAAAGCGUGGGGAGCAAACAGGAUUAGAUACCCUGGUAGU
rnacentral:rRNA from 1 species